rnacentral:rRNA from 1 species
GGCGCACAACCUUCGCCUGCUCACCCGGGGCUUCUUCCACGAUGCCCGUGAGAUGGACAUGGGCUGCAUUGAGGACUACUACGAUGGCGAGCAGAGCAAGUACGGCCUGGCGAGCCUUGACGAUGGCGCGGAUGAGCAGCUGCUCUGCAGCGGCAAGUAUCGUGACUGCAAUAGAACGACAUGUUGGAGAGGUGCUAGAUAUAGUGGUUAAGAUUGCUUGUUUAGAGGGAGUUACUACUGUCAUUCUUUAAGAGAGCAAUCAUAAACCCGAAAGGAUAAUAUUCUGCAGGUAUGUACUCCUAAUAUUAAAACCAUUCAGCUGCGCAUCAAGGACGCUAGCUCGCGAUAGCCACGUCGGCGCUGGUCAUUUUGCAAAAACGACCUCGUCUUUUCCGCAUUCAACCCGCACUCCCCGACUCGUCCCUCUCACUCUGCUCCAUUCACUCCCCUCGCCUCGCAGCCGCUGCCGCCACGCUCCUCUCAGCUCUCGCCUCUCCCCCCGCCUCUCCGCCGUUGCCGCCGCGGGGCUCCUCUCAGCUCUCGCCUCUCUCCUUUCCCCUUGCUGUGUCGCCUCCCCUCGGCGCCGCCGCCUCGCCUUGCCUCGGGUCUCCGUUCCACCUAAUUUUUUUUUUAACUUUUUGCUCCAAGCCAGCGACGAAUCCCCGGAUCUGGCGUCAGCGAGGAAGGAUAUGGUGGAUGCGAGGACGUACACGCCGGAUCCGGGCCAGCACAACCACCAGAUGGGGGCUGCGGCGGCUGGACACCUUCGAGGUGCUGCCGCGGGCAGGAGAAUAUCGCUGCAGCACCCUUCGCCGCUGCCAAGCUCCUGGCGCUGGUGGACGCGAGACCCUAAGUUGCCGUCCACCACGAGGUGCUGCUACGGGUAGGAGGAGCUGCUGCCGCACACCACUAAGUGAUGCUACGGGCAGGCGGAGGUGUGACCACGACGACGUACCAGACAAGAACAAACAAACAAAAUGCAUUUGAAGUGGCGUGUCGUGGCCGUGCUGGGAUGGUCGAUCGAUACCGCGCCGAUCCGGUUCGACGGGGUCGUCGACGACGUGCUGUGGGAACAGGAGACCGGGCUCUGGUCCCGGCAGUCCGGGGCAUGCUGCUGCUGCUCGUGCAGCAGAAUGACGGCCGCAUCGGCGCGUCCGGGGAGAGUUGCGUCGACCUGGUGGGCAGGUGAAUUCGUUCGACGGCGUGCAAGAGUUCUUCGCCCAAUUCCACUACCCCAACGCACAGAGAGGCGCAGUGAAUGAGAAUGUUGGCUUAGAAAUUCAGAACAUCCAAGAAGUGGUCGGGGGACUGGUUUUGGUAAGUGAACACGGUACAAACUUAGUUCGGUUUAUGAUUUGGACGUGGUUUAAUGUCAUGAACCAUCUGUUUUGUUUUUGUAAUAUCUUUUUUUCCUAUCUAACAAGAGGUUGUUAUUGUUCAUUGCCCUGCAUUGGAUGGUUAUGCAGUAAGCCAGUAAGAUGCUUCUGUGAACAAGCAAACAUUGAUGUUUAGAUCCUUUACAACAGUACAUGUAAAUAUCAUUUCACUUAUUUGAAAUUCCACACACCCAGUUCAUAUAUAUGAGGGUAUCUUGAGAAGAUCAGUUCUGCCACUGUUGUUGUUGGAGACAGAAUUGAACGAGCUCUUCCUUUGUAUCAUCUUUCUUAUAUUGAUCAGUGAUAGUUGUUGCUGCUUUUAGCCCUCGUUUCCGUGAGAACUUGUUCAGAGUGUAGAAAAGAAAAAUAUGUGGCUAUAGAAGCAUAUAUGCCAUUCAGUAAAACAUCAAAGAAAAAUAACUUUGAAAUCUAUAUAUUUAUUGACUGUGCACCUAUUCCAUCUUCCAAGUAACUUCUGUGGGGUCAUCCUGAUCAGAAGUUUAUCCACCUAAAGAAAAAUUAAUUUUAUCCGAACUUCAUUUCAUUUAUUAUGUUCUCUCACAUUUUUUCAUUGUAUUUAUACAUGAGGAUUUUUUUGUUUCUCUUGUUUAUUUUGAAAGUGAGUACCAGUUUUGAAUAGGCAUUUUCUUUGACCAUUUGAUAGUGAGUUGAAAGAAUAUUUUCUCAUUUCCAAGUUCCUCGCUACCCCCUCUCAUGUUUGAAGAUUAUUCUAUUCCUUUUGUGAAUUCUCUUCAUGUCCUGAAGAGGAGGUUUCUGCACCCUAUUAUGCUUCAUGUCCUUUAUUCAAAAAUUAGUUUGAUGCCUGGCUGAUUAGUGCUGAAUCAGAUCUAGCACAGAAUUACAUUUCACAGCAUUACCAUUAUGAGUAUGUUUAUACAGUUGUUGAGUACCUUUAAUUGAAUCAGCAGAUUGUCUCGUCUACCCUUUGUGUAUUAGUUAUCCUUCCUUAUGGUGUUUUGAUUGAAUAGAAGCAGAUCAGGAGCCUUUGUUGUUGGUCCACUCUAAUCCCAACCCUUUGUAUGAUAUUUUUGUCAUCUAGAUUUUUAUAGAUGGUUAUGUUGUAUGUUCAUAUUCAUAUGUUGGCUCGGAGAUCCCUUUUGUGGCUUCUACUUUAUCAUGAAGAUUGUCGACAAGGAUUGAGAAGACAUAAUUGCUUACUAAUUAGAUUUCCACAGAUGGUUAUGUUGUAUGUUCAUAUUCAUAUGUUGGCUCGCAGAUCCCUUUUCUGGCUUCUACUUUAUCAUGAAGAUUGUCGACAAGGAUUGAUAAGAGAUAAUUGCUUACUAAUUGCUCGUGUGUUUUUCAUCUCAGUGCUUCUCGGUGCCCUUCAUAAAGAACUUUCUCCCCGGAUUGUCUAUCAAAUCUCCAGUUGGAAAUAUCAGUCUACAGGCCCGUCUGAUAAAAUUAACCUUUAACAACCAACUGGAUGAUUAGCUGCUCCAUCAUGCUACAUACGCCUCUUUGUUGAGUGUUUUUCCCCGUUUUCUUGGAGAGUGCUACCUUUGCAAUGGUUUGGCCAUAAAUCUGUUGUCCGCACAAGUAGUACUGCUAAUUUGCCCUUUUUAAUGACGAUUUAUGCUUUCCGUACGCAAGUACUUUAUUUGCAGUUUUGCAUUAGCCAAAUACUGAACUUCAGUGGGAGACAUUCACUGUUUUUCAGAUUUGAUGGAGAAACAAAAAAUAUGCCGCCAAUCGGCGUAAUUUUAUAACCGUUCUCGUCAUCUGAGUAACAUCCGAAAUGGCUAAUCUGAUCGGUUUUGCUGCUUGUGUAGAACCGACGACAAGCUUGUUGGCGGGCAUCUGGCAGGAUCGGUGAACAUCCUCUACAUGUACAAUACCAGCUCAGGCAAUUAUUAGAACCCUGUCAGUUAGUUAAGCUCUUGUGAUCAUUGAAAGGGAGGGGGGAUUAAGGUGUUUCCAUCAACAACCAUUUAUUGGUCGAGUGGACUCAGAACUGGUUUCGUACUGAAAAAUCAGGGUUGGCAUCAUGAUAACAAGCAUGGUCACCUUAAGUCUCAACUCUGAGCCUCCUCUUGGAAAAAAUGUCCGCAUUCCAAACAAGUCCAUUUACAGACUCUAAGCCUCCUCUAUGAGCACCAAGUAGACACUCUCUUUGCUAUGUUUUGGCACAAAGAGCCAGACAUCAAGUACUACGUGUGCACAAUCAACAAGACAUUUGUCAAACCAGGCCAGCGCAUGUAUUUUCAGGUUAACUAUACUGAAGAGAACUUGCAGGACUACAUUGAUCCAAACAAUGAUACACUCAUGUUCAGACUUGCAGACCGCCAUCUGCUCGCCGAAUGUUGCAUCAUGCUAGGAAUGGACAAAAGGGCCACUAUAACCACCAACUGGCCUGAGUUUCGUCGCCGCGCCAACAUUCGCGAGGGAGACAUCUGUGCAUUUCGUUUCAGGAUAACUUCAAAGCGCAGCCUAGUCCUCACCGUGCACUGCCUCUAGAUGCACCAUCGAAGAUGAUGCAGCCUCUGUGUCAAUAUAAUUUAGCACUAAGUACUCUUAAUUAUGUUAUAUCCUGUGAUAACCUAUCGGUUGCUUUUGGGUCCUCUUAUCACAUGCUUUUCAAGACACUAAACCUACGUUGCUGCUUAUGUUAAGUGCACUAUUGUCAGUCAGAUGUUUCAUGUUCAGAUCCAUAAUGAGCUUUCUUUGUAAAGUAUAUAUUUCUAUUUUUGCUGCUAAGUUUCUUAGCUAAAGCAAUCAUCCCAAGUGCUAAUUAGAAUAGAAAAGAGUGUUAAAGGGGCGAGUACAACCAGGCACCGCUCAGCUACCCCUCAAGAGGCGCGCCACGGGCGCGCCCCAACACCUAGUGAUGUUAUAAUUCGAUGUGAACCAAGGGCAAUUCGCUCGAGUUCUGAUCUAUGAAAUAGAUGCCAUCAGGAAGGUGAUGCCUUCAAUUCAUCAUGUUCUUUGCGUGCCUAAUUAUGCUCUCAUCCUCUUUUGUUGUAUUCACAGUGUUUUUUCUGGCCAAUGGUUUGUGAAUCUUUGCAAGAGGAUUAUCAGC